rnacentral:lncRNA from 1 species
UAAAGCUUCUAGUCAUAGAAAAGCACUUACAAGGACAUACAGGGUUCAUCUUGGCACACUUGGCUUGGAUAUGUGAGACAUGAUAUGGAGUUUAUAUCCAAUGAGGGUUCUGGGGAAAUAAGAAAGCAUUUGAGACAAAACAGCAAUAAGGCCUGAUUCUGAUAAAUCUAAAAUGUGUUUUAGAUUAAUAUUUGCUAUUCAUUUUACAAUUAAUUCAAGUUCUGCAUAAAAUUUCACACAAAGGGAAAAUAUUUUAAAGUCCUAAGUAUUUCCUAAUGUAACAUGAGACCAACUUCCCUGAUCUGAAGAAUUGAGAACUGUUAUAUUUAUCAAAAUAAAAAAUAAUUGAAUAUCCAUAAUCAUUUUGGCAAAAGCUAUACCACUUAACUUCUUAUGUAAAUAAUUUUCAGACUGAACUUGGCAAGUAUGCAACUAAAGGAAAGACUUCAUAACCCUAAUGUUAGAAAAUUUUCCAUAUUAUAUUUUUUACCUAUAUCCUUCUUCAAGUCUGAGAGCUCCAAUAUAUGCUAGUGAAAAAAAAGAUCAAAAUUAGCAUUAAUGUAAGGAUUUUCAAUCAAUACUGUAAAAAGAAUCACUAGGGGAAAAAAAGGCCAGAAUAAAGAAAACUCAAAUAUAUGACUUAAUGAGAAACCCUUCAAACAUACAAAAUCAAACUGUAUUACUUACCAAACCUCUACACCAUCUCCUGAUAAAUCUCCAAGGGAAAAAUGUGGGAGAUCUAAAAUGUAUCAUAAACAGGCAGAGAAAAUAUUUUAAUAGCCCUCCCCCUAAAUAACAUAAAUUCAAAGUAAAAAAUUUCAGGACAAGACAUAGGUCAAUGAAGUAUAAUUAUUUUGAAGUCUUUUAUAAAAUUUCUAAACUUAUGAAUAAACUUCCAGUUUUCUGCUCCUGAGAAUGCUGAAAUACUUUUAAAAGGAAAGGGGAAAAAGAGCAAAACUUAAAUGUGCACAUGUGUGUGUGGGGGGAAUCAAUACAGAACAUAGGGAAGAGAUGAGCUGCAAGGAAAAAAAAAAAAAAAAGCUGCAAGGAGGAGGAGAGAAAAAACACCAAAAUAAAAAAUAAAAUAAAAACCUUUCUCUGUAAUACUGUGGAGUUCUAUUUGUUUUUUCCUUCUAAUUUACUGAGAUAUGGGGCUCUUUGGAACAGACCAGUUAUUAAGUAUUUGAAUCACUGCUCUACUACAAAAUGUUCCUGUAUCUGUGUCAUCUGUAAAAGCGAAGCUGUGAGGAUUAAAAGAAAACACCCAAAAAGCACUAUGAACAGUACCUAACACACAGCAAGCACUUAAAUGCCAGCUAUCAGCACUAAACAGUGCACAUGUUCACUUAAAUAUUUCCUUAUCAGCUAUUAUCUCCUUAUCUCCCUGAUGGGCUCCCUGAAUGGCUGGAAUCUGAAUUCAGGUUUUGCCAAUAUAUCUAAUGAUACUUAACUUUCAGAAUGGCUUUAGUCAAAUUCUUUCAAAUGUUCUUUCCAUAGUGACACCCCUCUUGCCUGGCAUCAAUUAUUACUUUUGAUAUUAGGAGGAGAUGGAAAUAUAGAUGUAGUGUGUCUUUCAUGCCUUUGCUCUACAAAUCUAAAGCUUUUGUAUAUAUAAAGAAGGAAACAUGUAGCAAUUAUAAAAUGUUAAAUAUUUUAUGAUGCUAAGGACAGAAUAGAGGCAUACAAUAGCAAAUUAAAUUUUACAAAUUUAAACUUCUAGAAUAAACCUUCUGUUCUUCGGUUAUAAAUCAAUAAAUCUAACGUAAGAAAAUGCUUUGUCUCUGGCUCUAAAAAGAUAAAUAUAUUUCUAAAGAAAGAUAAAAGUGAAAAUUUUGGUUCUAAUACUUGCUUUAUGACGAACUAGCUGUACAACCCUGGCUGUUACUCAACUUCUCUGGGCCAGUGAAUAUUAAAGAUAAUACAAAGUACCUAGCUGCGUGUGUCUGGCACACUGUAUGAACUCAAUGAAUGGGAGCUAUUGCUUGACUAGUGUGAGUGAAGAGGGUUGGACUAGAUAUCAAGUCAAAAUUCAAAAUUCAAAAUAUCAGGAAGGCUUUUUUUUUUUUCCCCAGGGUAGCACCUGCGGCACAUGGAAGUUCCCAGGCUAGGGUUUGAAUCAGAGCUGCAGCUGCCAGCCUGCACCACAGCCACAGCAAUGCCAGAUCCAAGCUGCAUGGGCAACCUACACCACAGCUCACAGCAAUGCCAGGACCCUGACCCACUGAGCAAGGCCAGGGUUUAAACCCGCACCCUCAUGGAUACUAGUCAGAUUUGUUUCUGCUUCGCCACAAUGGGAACUCCAAGAAUUUAGAUAUGACACCAUAUGAUGAGAAUGUUGUUAUUUUUGUGAUAAUUACUAUGGCAAUUACAAAGCACAAAUAGAGAAGUAAGAGAGAUCAGGUAGGAAAAUUGGGAAAAGAAUUUUAACAAUCUAGAAAUUGACGUGUAAAAUAUACAGCAAUGCUUCCUAACCUGUAAUCUUGUUACCUGUAAUUUGUGGAUAUAUCAAACUGACUAAAUGUGAAUUUUCUCCUUAAUUCCAUAAUGGAAGAAGGCUCCUUUAUAUCCACAGUAUAUUUGGUACUUAGAACAUUAUCAUAAAAGUGGGUCUCUAAAUGUAUAGUCUAAAAUUGAAUGUAAUGCUGUUAUAAUUAAUAAAAUCAAUCACUUUAAAAGUACUGCUCAAUUCCUAGAAUAUUUUAAAACAAAACUUCCAGUCAACUGAAGUAGUAAAGUACAACAAUUAGCUCUUAUGGCUGGUCUGAUAUUUUUUUCUACACUGGUUCCAAGUCAUCUUCUUAUGAGAUUAAGAACUACCAUCCUAGGAUAGUAAAUUAAUAAGUAGAGAAAGGAAUCAACUAUAAUGGAAAAAAUAAAAAUCAUACAAAUAAAAAAAAAAUUCUAUGAGGGGAAAAAAAGGGGGAGAAAGGAAAAGACAUCAUAUUAGAAUCAGUAUGACUUGAUUAACGGAAAAUCCAGGUUACUAAGACUGUAACCUGUAGGACCAAAAUGUACUUCAUGCCUGUAUGGUUUUCUUCCCUAUGCCAGAAUCUGCUCCUUGUAUCCACAGUGCCAGAAACACAUUUAUGCACUAAACUUUUGUUAAAUGACUAGUAUCUGUUUUUCAGCAUCACCAAAUUUCAUGUGAUCUGGAGGUACAUAUGAGAUGAGACUAAAAGACUGGGUUUAGAGAUAUAAAGUCCAGAAGCCCUAACUGUGGCUGAAGUCUCUAAAGAGGGAUAAAAGACAUAGGAAGAGGGCAUUACGAGGGACAAAUACACAAAUUGUGGAUCAAACAGAGUCAGCAAAAGUCAGAAAAGUUUUGAAGGUUUACUGAAUUCUAUCAAAAAUAACAAGACAAUCAAGGAUGAUGACUGGGUGGGGUGGGGCACAGGGGUAGACAACUGAAAUGGCCUGAAGAUCACUGCUGUCAUAAACAUGCUGGCUUUGACUUAAUGACAAUUAAAGUGACCUGUAAUUCUCCUAGGUAGAACAAAGCUGGAUGGAACCCCAAAGCAACCAAAGGCACAGCACCUUGGUUUGUCAGACAUCUAUCUAGAAUGGUAAAUUUGGUCUCAGUGCUAGGUAUACCUGGAGCCAACCUGACUUUGAUUAAUAUCUUCCAGGUCAUAAGUCUCAGCUGUGAUAUUGCUUUACUGUUUAUUCACUAGCCACAAAUACAUAUAUGGGCUAUUACCACCAGAGAACUGAUUUUCUUAAAGUUCAUGGGUAAUCAGGAUGCUAUUCAACUUUGCUUAUGCAUAUUAUACAAUAAGGAAAUAAGUUCUGAUUCUGCUCUAUCUUUAGUUUAUGACCCUAGCCUAGGCAAAUCAUGAGUUAUGAAGUAAAAUGGAAACAAUUCCCUAUUUCUAAAACACACAAACAGAAAGAUAACAAUUGCAGAUUAUCAGAAAGAUGUGAAAACAAAAAAUCAACAACACACAAAGCCAUGGUUAUAUAUACACCCAGCAUAGUUCAUGAUCUUCGAGCAGCCACUUCAAAGACAUAAAAGAAAGCCAGGGAAGGUACAAAACAGGGCAACUAAGAAGUGUUUAUAAUAAUAAAGUGGCUUUUACCUUCAAAGAGUAAGAACUCCAAUCUGGAAAGAAAGUUAAGACGAUAAAAUUGAAUUCCAUGAAAAAUCAUAAUGGUUGCAGAUAAAAAUACUAGAGUCUGGCUCCAUUUUAUUCAAAGUAAUUUAAAGCAAAUCCUGAAACACUCCAACUAGGAAAUGUAUUAACGCUGGUAAAAAGUAAAUCUCAAAUCACAAGAUAUUUCGUAAACUUGUGACAUAAGCCAUGGGUACAAAAAAAAAAGUAGUCUGAAAAACUGUAAAUAGUUUUAAGAAGGUUCCGCUAUUCAGAAGCUAUCGUUAAUCUUACUAUCACAACAUAAAAUAAUUCUUAUGCUGUUAUUUCAGUGAAACUAGUCUUUGGCCCCACCUAUAAUUCCAAGCUGGGAAAACUAACAGUCUAACCAGCUAGUUAGCAAUAUCCCAGAUAUUCCAGUUAUUCAGUAUUUCAAAGAAGCCUAAUGACAUUUACCAGCUAAGACUGCAUAUAGCAAGCAAAACCCAGAAGGCACUUACAGAGCGGUAGUUAAAAUAUGAGCUCUGGUAUCAGAUCAGCCUGGGUUCAAUUCCAGAUUGGCCAUUUCUAGUUAGGAAUGCUUUGGAUCGAAAUGUCUGUGUGUUUCCGUAUUUAUAUUUACUUUACAGGAUUAAUAAAUAAGUAAGUUUAAGAUAAUGACAGCCAUUGGAAACAUUCACUAUUAGGUCUACUGUCAAGUUUGCUGACUGAAACUGUAACUAGUUCAACGUGCUAAGCUCAGUUCUCUUACUGACUAAAAGUUCUAACAAUUAUAGGUCUUCGAACUUUUUUAAAAAAGAAAAUGUUCAUGGUUGAAAAACAGACUGAGAGCUGAAAAGGUUGGAAAGUCAUUUGGAUUAAACCAUGUUUUUGUUUGUUUGUUUGUUUUUUUGCUGUGCCCACAGCAUGCAGAUGUUCCUGGGCCAGAGAUCAAACCCAUGCCACAGCAGUAACAAUGCCAGAUCCUUAACCUCUAGGCCACCAGGGAAUUCCUAAGCCAUGUAUUUUUAUUUUUAGCUUUUAUGGCCACCCCUAAGGGGUAUGGAAGUUUCCAGGCUAGGGGUCAAAUCGAAGCUGCAGCUGCCGGCCUACAUCACAGCCACAGCAACACCGGAUUUGAGGCACACCUGCAACCAACACCAUAGCUUGUGGUAAUGCCAAAUCCUUAACACACCGAGUGAGGUCAGGGAUUGAACCCACAUUCUCAUGAACACUAUGUCAGGUUCUUAACCCACUGAGCCACACACAAUGGGAACUCCCAUAAACCAUGUAUUUUCAAGAGACAUGGAAUUCUGAGGGCUUGUUUGUUUUUUUAAAGAAACUAUCUUAAUCAACUCAGCUCUCCCUAUCAAACCUAUCAAUAUCUUAUAAUACCGCUGACAAAAAUGUAUUAUUAGACACUAGAUUAACCAGUUUUGUUAAGACAUCAAAGCAUGAAACAGCUUGACCUUUAUAUUAAGGGGCCUUAUGAGUUACAGGGAAUGGAGAAAAAAGUUAUUUUUAGUAAAUCUAGUCCAUUUAAACAAAGCAACACCUGUUUUUCUUCAGGGAUAUAACAAAUGUUUCAAAGAACUGCUCAUUAUUUCAACCUUGACUAGGGAUUUCUCACUCAAGGCUUAGUUUUCAGUAAGGGAAAAAUAAAAUAUAAGGAAACCUACCUUCACAUUUGUUCUUUCAGAGUCAGUCACUCCAUCUUUAUAUUUAAAAUUUUGAACUGUACAGUAGAAAUUCUUAAAAGUCAAGUUACUUUUAUCUUAUCCAGUGGACACUACAGUUGUAAUUUAGUUUAAAAAAUUCAUAAUAUAUACACUUUAAAAACUCUUCUCUCUAGGAGUAAUCCAAAUUAUGCACAUUAUUCAUAUAUUCCAAUUAUAAGCUGAGUAUUUUAUUAGGAGGACAGAACACCUUUUAAACUUCCAAUGGUGUUUUUCUGGAAGAUUUGGUUUGAGGAUCACUACAAUUUAUAAAUCUAUUACCACCUCUUGGAAUCUUCUCUAAAUUCUUUAAGAAUAAUAGCCAUGACUUCCUAUUUUCUAUUUCUAAUUGCAGAAACAUAAAACACUCAAUGGCUAUAAAAUGAAUGGACAUAAAUCAGUUAUCAAUGUUAGGUACAGACCAGACUUAACCUUUUCAAUAAAUAGCUACUUUCAGCUGAUUAUCUAGAUUUGGUUGGUAACGUACAAGAUGAUCUAUUUAAUGAUACCCUUUCCUAAGCAUUAACAGGUUGAUCAAGAUGUUAUUGUUGGAGUUCCCAUUGUGGCUCAGGGGAAACGAACCUGACUAGUAUCCAUGAGUCCAAAGGUUCAAAUUCCUGGCCUCAUUCAGUGGGCUAAGGAUCUGGCAUUGCCGUGAGCUGUGGUGUAGGUUGUAGACACAUCUUGGAUCUGGCAUUGCCGUGGUGUGGGCCAGUGGCUACAGCUCCGAUUUGACCCCUAGCCUGGGAAACUCCAUAUGCCACAGGUGCAGCCCUAAAAGACAAAAAAAAAAAGUUACUGUAGUUUCUGAAAAGAAAAAAUAAGUUAAUUACUUUUAUAAUACUUCUCAAGGACAAGAUCCAGGAUGGGGAAUUUUUGGUAAUUCCUUCUGUCAUAAUGAAAGCCCACACAAUGGAGAAAGCAAUAGUAUUUUGCAAUCUUCUUUUUUAAGGUAAAAAACAUGUUACACUAAUAAAAAUGAUUAAAGGUAGUAAUUUCAACACACAUCACACAUCGGGAUGAAGCUUCAAUUUUACUAUUUACUAGAUUUAAAUAUUUUCCCCAAAGGUUUACUGGUAAGCAAGAUCACAUAAAUGAUACAUUGAGAAUUAUAUGUUGAGAAUUCACAUAAGCAUUCAGCUUCCUUCUUCAAGCUACUAAACUAUACAUCUAUAGAUUUAAAUAUUCUGCCCCAGACAGAAUCUUUGGGUAAAUUUUAAGAAACACUUACCAUUGUUUUGACCUACUUUGCAGAUCUAAAUAUAAAGCAACACUAAAACUGAUACACAAACACAAUUUUUAAAACAGCAAUGACAGUAAUUUUUCAGAAAACACUGGCCAGAUCUUUUAUUAAUGUAGUAUUUCAAAUCAUUAAUAAUCUCCAUUUGGGAAACAUUUAAUCUACACCAAACAGAAGUAAUCACACAAAAAUUUUGCAAGGAGAGCUAGUUUUCUUAGAGCCAGAUCAACUGAUCAGUUAUAAACUCAAAGAAACAACUCCAGAGUUUAGGUGUGGUAAAUAGUAAGCCUGGAGUUCCCAUCGGGGCACAGCGGAAAACGAAUCCAACUAGGAACCAUAAGGUUGCGGGUUUGAUCCUUGGCCUCACUCAAUGGGUUAAGGAUCUGGUGUUGCCGUGAGUUGUGGCAUAGGUCACAGAUGCAGCUCGGAUCUGGCAUUGCUGUGGUUGUGGCAUAGGUUUGCAGCUGUAGCUUCAAUAAGACCCCUAGCCCGAGAACCUCCAUAUGCCGCAGGUGCAGCACUAGAAAGCAAAAAAUAAAUAAAUAUAAAUUAAUAAUGAUAAGAAGAAGCCUUCAGCUAAUCCCCUAUAGAGUGUCAAGUUAUUGUCAUGGUGAUCUUAAAUUUAAUACUAGUGAGUACUGAGAAUCCCUAAAUCUAGCCUGAAAUACCCGAUUAUUUUAAGCAAUGGACAAAUUAUACACAUUAUAGAAGCAAGACAUUACAGUCCUUAAGAAUUUAACAGACUUUUAACAAAAAUACUGAUUUAUCUGUUUAUCUAUAUACUGUUUUCUGUAUGGCUCGGAUUCUCAUGAAACAGAACAGUAGAAAAUACCUGGAAUAAUCUAAAGCCAUUUUUUCAUUAAAAAAACUUUUAUUAAAGACCGCAUGUCUUUCUGUAUCAAGUUAAGAUAAUAUCUUCUCCAAGAAUGCAUAUAGAAAAUAGGUUCUCCACAUGACCCACCAUAGGGCUGAGCAUACUGGGGUUUUUUUUGAUGUGUUAAUUUUGUAUCGUGCAUGCAUACAUUUGUGCAAGCCCACAUAAACACACACACACUCAGGUUUGGUAAGUGAAGACCUCUAACAAAUUUUUCCACCACGUCCUUGAAAAAUGUAGAUGAAAUCAAAUAUCAGAUGAUGGAUGAUUUAAUUUACCCACACUUUAAAACUACUUAAAACUAAUUUAGAGAGAACUCAGGGAUGAAAAUAAAUUUGGAUUUUGUGAAUAAACUUAAACAUUUUAAGUCAAUUGGAAAGUGGCAUUCCCUUUUGAAAUUAACUGUAAGUUUGCUUAGGUAAGAAAUGGCUUUCUUAAAGACCAAAAUCCAACCAAUAUGAUAUUUUGGCCUAAACUUUUAUAAAUGAUGGAAGAAAAACAAACUGAACUACCAACAUCACACACACACCCCUUAGCAAUCCAUUUUAAUCUAAGACAAAA